UACGGAGGGUGCGAGCGUUAAUCGGAAUUACUGGGCGUAAAGCGCGAGUAUGUGGUUUGGUAAGUCGGAUGUGAAAGCCCCGGGCUUAACCUGGGAACGGCAUUCGAUACUGCCUGACUGGAGUAUGGUAGAGGAAAGCGGAAUUCCCGGUGUAGCGGUGAAAUGCGUAGAUAUCGGGAGGAACAUCAGUGGCGAAGGCGGCUUUCUGGACCAAUCCUGACACUGAGGCGCGAAAGCGUGGGUAGCAAAUAGG
rnacentral:rRNA from 1 species